AAAGCCGGAUUAAUACCGCAUACGAUCUACGGAAGAAAGCGGGGGAUCGWWMGACCUCGCGCUAUAKGGGCGGCCGAUGGSRGAUUAKCUAGUUGGKGGGGUAAAGGCCUACCAAGGCGACGAUMUGUAGCUGGKCUGAGAGGACGACCASCCACACUGGGACUGAGACACGGCCCASACUCCUACGGGAGGCAGCASUGGGGAAUUUUGKACAAUGGGGGAAACCCUGAUCCAGCAAUGCCSCGUGUGUGAAGAARGCCUUCKGGUUGUAAAGCACUUUUGUCCGGAAAGAAAACUUCUGCCCUAAUACGGCGGGAGGAUGACRGUACCGGAARAAUAARCACCGGCUAACUACRUGCCASCAGCCGCGGUAAUACRUAKGGUGCGAGCGUUAAUCGSAAUUACUGGGCGUAAAGCGUGCGCASGCGGUUCGUUAAGACAGAUGUGAAAUCCCCGGGCUUAACCUGGGAACUGCAUUUGUGACUGGCGAGCUAGAGUAUGGCAGAGGGGGGUAGAAUUCCACGUGUAGCAGUGAAAUGCGUAGAGAUGUGGAGGAAUACCGAUGGCGAAGGCAGCCCCCUGGGCCAAUACUGACGCUCAUGCACGAAAGCGUGGGGAGCAAACAGGAUUAGAUACCCUGGUAGUCCACGCCCUAAACGAUGUCAACUAGUUGUUGGGUCUUCAUUGACUUAGUAACGUAGCUAACGCGUGAAGUUGACCGCCU
rnacentral:rRNA from 1 species